rnacentral:sRNA from 1 species
AUGUACUACAAUGGCCGAUUGUCGCCUUCUAUCUCUACAUUACUGGGUCUGUUUACUCUCCUUAAAAUAACUACCGCCGUUGACCUGAAUAUUAAUUUGAAGCAUAUAAUGAACCAGUAUGUAUAUCUAUGUGGUCGGGAUUCAAUCUGUAAUGAAGACUUGUUAACAACACCAGGCUAUGAAGAAAGCGGACGAAUCAACAUAAGCUGCCCUGUGUGUAGCUGUGAGGAUAUAUGUCGAAUACACGGAGACUGUUGUCCCGAUUUUGCAUCGAACACGUGUGUACAAACUUCAUUUAAACCAGAUAAAGGACGCGAUGUGGUAGAGUACUUCAUGAAAAAUGAUUGUCCACAAGAUGCUGAUGAAAAUUUAGUAAGACGAUGUCAAGAGACAAACACUGAUGAGAAUGUCUUAAGGCGAUACCCAGUAACUUCUACAGCCACCAACAUAACGUACAGCAACGUCAAAUGUGCAAGGUGUAGCAAGGACCUUUCCACUGUCCCGUGGCUAAUUCAGACAGAUUGUAAUGUUGAAAAAAUGUCCUUUUCCAGUGUUGAUGACCUUUGGAAAUCACUCAAUACCUUGCAGUGUAACAUAACGUACGAACCAACUGAAGAAUUAAAAGAAAUUCUUCCAAGAAUAUGUGACAAAAAUGUCCAUCUGAUCGCCGAAUGCAAUGCAACAGGAACUGUGUCAGAUUUCGAUGAACACAUGGAAGAAGCGUGUAAAUCGACCAACCUGCCCAUUGGCGCGUUUAAGAAUCCGUUUUGUUUAUUGUGUAAUAUUCAGGAAGAAUCAUUCGACCCGCCAAUCUCAACUUGCAAUGUUACAGGAAAACUGAAAUAUAUAGAAGAAAGAAUCGCAAACGGAUGUCUUAAUAAAAGCGUGGAUUUACUGACUUAUCCAUACAAGAAUAAAUUUUGCGAAGAUUGCAAUUUACCUAAAACUGAUGAAGGUGACUUCAAGUAUGCAGACGUUGAUCUGACUAUUCAGAGGAAACAGUUAAAACACAAUGAUGAAAAGUGCUCAAAUGAUGAAGUCUUUGAUCAGGACGAAUGUAGAAAGCUUGUCUGCAAUCCAAGGAAAACUCUAGUGAAUGGAACUUGCAAAACAAUGAUUUCAUCCUACAAAUCAAAAACCUAUAAUGUUGCAUUUCAGGCGGUCAUUUAUUCAGAGAUCAUAAUGGAGAUUUACAAAUAUGAUGUCAUUCAAAAGAUAAAAUCGAUUGUUAUAGAAGAUCUCUCCAAUGAUUCAGAUUUGGAAAUUCUUGCUUUUAAAUACUACCAUCGAGUUAACAGGAAAUGUGAGAGGAUGAUCGAAGUAUCCAAACUUAACCCUCUUUCGAUUGAAGCAUUCUGUUGUGACCUUUGGAAAUCACUCAAUACCUUGCAGUGUAACAUAACGUACGAACCAACUGAAGAAUUAAAAGAAAUUCUUCCAAUAUGUGACAAAAAUGUCCAUCUGAUCGCCGAAUGCAAUGCAACAGGAACUGUGUCAGAUUUCGAUGAACACAUGGAAGAGCGUAGGAAACAGUUAAAAACAACAAUGAUGAAAAGUGCUCAAAUGAUGAAGUCUUUGAUCAGUGAAGUCUCAGUAAUCAUUUCCUCAGUGUCCAGCUACCAACAACACCAGAAACGAUUUAUCAUGUACUACAAUGGCCGAUUGUCGCCUUCUAUCUCUACAUUACUGGGUCUGUUUACUCUCCUUAAAAUAACUACCGCCGUUGACCUGAAUAUUAAUUUGAAGCAUAUAAUGAACCAGUAUGUAUAUCUAUGUGGUCGGGAUUCAAUCUGUAAUGAAGACUUGUUAACAACACCAGGCUAUGAAGAAAGCGGACGAAUCAACAUAAGCUGCCCUGUGUGUAGCUGUGAGGAUAUAUGUCGAAUACACGGAGACUGUUGUCCCGAUUUUGCAUCGAACACGUGUGUACAAACUUCAUUUAAACCAGAUAAAGGACGCGAUGUGGUAGAGUACUUCAUGAAAAAUGAUUGUCCACAAGAUGCUGAUGAAAAUUUAGUAAGACGAUGUCAAGAGACAAACACUGAUGAGAAUGUCUUAAGGCGAUACCCAGUAACUUCUACAGCCACCAACAUAACGUACAGCAACGUCAAAUGUGCAAGGUGUAGCAAGGACCUUUCCACUGUCCCGUGGCUAAUUCAGACAGAUUGUAAUGUUGAAAAAAUGUCCUUUUCCAGUGUUGAUGACCUUUGGAAAUCACUCAAUACCUUGCAGUGUAACAUAACGUACGAACCAACUGAAGAAUUAAAAGAAAUUCUUCCAAGAAUAUGUGACAAAAAUGUCCAUCUGAUCGCCGAAUGCAAUGCAACAGGAACUGUGUCAGAUUUCGAUGAACACAUGGAAGAAGCGUGUAAAUCGACCAACCUGCCCAUUGGCGCGUUUAAGAAUCCGUUUUGUUUAUUGUGUAAUAUUCAGGAAGAAUCAUUCGACCCGCCAAUCUCAACUUGCAAUGUUACAGGAAAACUGAAAUAUAUAGAAGAAAGAAUCGCAAACGGAUGUCUUAAUAAAAGCGUGGAUUUACUGACUUAUCCAUACAAGAAUAAAUUUUGCGAAGAUUGCAAUUUACCUAAAACUGAUGAAGGUGACUUCAAGUAUGCAGACGUUGAUCUGACUAUUCAGGUUUACAACAAAUUUCAUACUUUGACUGAUAUCAAUAACGUUUCAAAACUUGUGUAUUUGUCUAAAUAUUCCAUACGUUCUUUUAAUUUUUCGUUGAAUUCCACUUUAAGUGAGAGUAUUGAAAUGCAGCAAAGGUCACAAGAUCAAAUAAAUGUGAAAUUUAUCAACUGGAACAACAGAAAUAAAUGGUGUAGAGAGAGAGAAAAUGUCUAUGCUGUAGGAGAUAAUGGAUUACAGCAGUCAUGCUCCUGUAAAGCAGAUUGCAAUCAAACAAACAGUUGCUGCAACGACCCUGAUGAGGCAUGGACUAAAAGACUUUUGAAAACAUGGGGUUGUGUCAAUUCAACAAUUCCGCGUACAUCAUCUUCAGAUAAUCACUACUUUAUGAUCAGUAAAUGUCGAGAUAGCUACAACAACGAACUCAUAAAACGUCUCUGCGAGUCGGACGAUGAGGAAAACUAUCUUAGUUUUAUACCUUUGACUGAUAUUCAAUCAUCAUUGACUUACAAAAAUUACUUUUGUUUACUAUGUGUUUUUCCGAACACUCCCAGGAAAUUAAUUGUCCCAUGGACAUUCUCCAUGAUAUGCCCUGUAAUAUUUAACUUUAAGAAUGAAGAAAGCCUUGAAUCAGUUAUCAAUCAUGGGUUAUCACGGCAGUGUACUUUCAAUCUUGUCCCAAGCUCUGAUGAUUAUAUCCCAGACAGUUGUGAUGGUUGGGGUGGACGAAGUCUAUACUGUUCAGUCUGUUAUCAAUAUAAAACAUCUGUAAGCGACAAUAUCUACGUUAGUCGGGGAUACCGUUCAAUAUUUUCACUGUUUGAUUACUCAGAGGAAACAGUUAAAAACAACAAUGAUGAAAAGUGCUCAAAUGAUGAAGUCUUUGAUCAGGACGAAUGUAGAAAGCUUGUCUGCAAUCCAAGGAAAACUAUAGUGAAUGGAACUUGCAAAACAAUGAUUUCAUCCUACAAAUCAAAAACCUAUAAUGUUGCAUUUCAGGCGGUCAUUUGUUCAGAGAUCAUAAUGGAGAUUUACAAAUAUGAUGUCAUUCAAAAGAUAAAAUCGAUUGUUAUAGAAGAUCUCUCCAAUGAUUCAGAUUUGGAAAUUCUUGAUUUUAAAUACUACCAUCGAGUUAACAGGACAUGUGAGAGGAUGAUCGAAGUAUCCAAACUUAACCCUCUUUCGAUUGAAGCAUUCGUAAGGAUAUACUUCCGCAGAAAAUCUGGUUCUAAAUUUUUGGAUUCCGAUAUGAUCGAACACUCCCUAUUCAAUGCGACUUCGAAAACUCGGUCCUGGGGAAACAUAUCAAUAAACAUUCAUAAAAGUAUUCAUGCUUGGUUCCUUCCAAUUUCUAAGACUGAAAUGUACUCGACUCCAUUCUGUAAUGGUCUCCUGGAAUAUCGCUUUUCCUCUUAUGAUAGAAGCGAUCCCGGCACGGAUAUAACGAAAUUGCUGUUCUGUCCACAAGUGUUGCUGAAUCCCGAUAAAUAUACGAUUUCUUCGGACGGCUUGCAAGCGUUUGUCAAAUACCUGAAUCGAACGUUUUAUCACAAUGAAUUUUUUCGGGGGGUCAACAAUACUCUCCACAUUUGUGCUAGUGAUCUCUCCUCUGGUGUUAUGGCGUUAACAACCCUUGAAAGACAAUCAAAACGAUCAGAGUUUCCACUUGCUCUUCAAGUUAUAUCAAUCUUUUCUACAUGUAUCUCUUUGAUUGCUCUGUGUAUUACAUUCAUUGUGUACUGCGUUCUUGAAAAAUUGCGAUCCAUUCCAGGACAGAAUUUGAUGUGUUUCGUAGGAUCCCUAUUCUUUGCUCAACUUUUCUCACUAUUGAAAGACUUUUUUACUGUGAAUACCAUGGUGUGUGAAGGAGUGGGCAUUUUAACAUACUAUUUCUGGGUGUCGGUAUUUACGACCGCCAGUGUAUGUUGUUUUCACAUGUGUCGUGUGUUUGUUUGUAACGCCAGAUUUCAGAACAAAUCGUUUUGCACUCAAACCGUAGUGUGGUAUAUGAUAUAUUCGUUUUCAGUGCCUCUCCUUCUCACCGUUAUCACUAUAGGAUGUCAUGUUAUUUUAUCGCCUUCUCGUCUAUCUGGUUUUGGGGGAUACGCUUGCUUCACACUUGACAGAGAUACUCAACUGUUCGCUUUUAUUAUUCCUAUAACUGUUAUUUGUUUCGUAAAUUUCAUUUUAUUCUCAGUUACUUUUUAUAAAAUCCAUGAUGCCCCGACAAUGGAAACGGCUAAUUCCCAUUGUAGAAACGAUCUCUUCAUUUACUUCAAAUUGUUUCUUUUGACAGGAACAGCGUGGUUGCUACAGGUUAUCGACGGUCUGUUUGCCUUGUCUCCAUUUUCCUAUCUUGUAACAAUAUUUAAUGCUCUUCAGGGUUUGUACAUCAUGAUUUCUUUUGUCUUGAACGAUCGCGUGAAAAAUAUGUUUCGUGAACUUGGGAUGAAUGAGAGGUUUAGAUUCCUGCAUGUUACUUUUAAGUCUUCACACACUACGGGAAGUACACAACUCACACAGAGAAUCACUGCUUCCUCAAACCAUGAAAGCCACGUAUAAAUUUCGUACAGUACCGAUUAUUAGACCCAACCAAACAGAAAGUAAGUCCCAACUAAGCCCUGGGUUUACUUUCUGGGUUCACUUUGGGUUUACUCUUGGUUAACUAGAGAGGACCAAGACUUAACGCUAUAGAAAACCCAGAAUGGACACAGAGGGUCAACCCCGAUCAGUAUACCUUUGAAAGCAGACAAUACAUGUGUAAUCUGAAUAUACACAGGGCAGGAAUUACAGGCAGUAGGGUAGUAAGAUAAAAGAUGGGUCUGCUUCACAACUCAGUGUGUACAGUUGACCUUAAAAGCAAUUCCCGAGUAAACCCAAAGUAAACCCCGAG